UACGAAGGGGGCUAGCGUUGUUCGGAAUUACUGGGCGUAAAGCGCGCGCAGGCGGCUAUCCAAGUCAGUGGUGAAAGCCCGGAGCUCAACUCCGGAACUGCCAUUGAAACCUGUUUAGCUUGAGUAUGAGAGAGGUGAGUGGAAUUCCCAGUGUAGAGGUGAAAUUCGUAGAUAUUGGGAAGAACACCGGUGGCGAAGGCGGCUCACUGGCUCAUUACUGACGCUCAGGCGCGACAGCGUGGGGAUCAAACAGGG
rnacentral:rRNA from 1 species